CGGUCUCGGGUGGGGAGCUCCGUGUACUGCCCGAGUGGCUUCUAGACGUUUCCAUGCUCCGGACGUUUAAGGGCUUCAGCUGACAGUUUGAGAGCUUCCAAGAGCGGCCCCUUUGGAAAGCCUUUCACAGCCUCCCUUUCUGGGGAGGGUGCAACGCGCCAUGUGAGCGCAGGGAAGGUGGUACAUGGGGGACGUUUGCCCGAGAGGCGGGGUCGUCAGCUGAGGGGGCUCCGGGGUGGCGGGGACCGGGCGGCCAAGGCCAUGGGUCCCGCGAUGGGGCGUCGUGUGCCGCUUCCUGGUGUGAGGCCCCGAGCGUGCCCCCGUGAAGAGCCGGUGUGCCCAGAGCCAGCGGGUCUGAAUGUGCUUCCAGCCGAGGAGGGAGGGGUUGGGGAGCACGUUCGCUCCGCGUGGCAACAACGUAAGAGUUUAUAAUCCUGCUCUGAGCACAACAGGAGCCUACGACUGCUAAUUGGAAGACCUGUGCUUCAAGCCCAGCACGGAACGUUCUAGUCUUACGUCCACUCAUUCUCCUGCUUCUCAGUCUCCCAAUUUACCAAGCCUCCCUCCUGAGCUGCUUUUAUGCUUCAGGCAGCGACCUGUAGCUCUCAGUUCUUGUCCUCACGAGCUUUGCUCUGUGGGCGCAGGUCGUGCAGCUGUGGAAGCUCGGUCGUCCCGGGUAUUGACGGAGCUCGGCCCAGCGCGAUGGAUUCUCGGGGUCUCACCAGACGCCUCUGGUCUCUCUGCACCUUCUGGAGCACCAACCACACCUUGACCUACCUGAUGGGACCUGUGGAUUCCACAGGAACUGCCAUGCUGAUGGAGGCUGAAGAAGGGGCGUGGAAAUCAACUUCUCAGACUCCAGGAUAAAGUGAAUGAAGAUGAUGACAAUGACCACAGCUUAUCAGGAAAAUAUAGCUUUGGGCUUUUGAAGUUGCAAAUGGAUUUGUAUAAAAGAGCAGUAUGUGAUUUUGGAAGACAACUUAGCAACAUAUUUGAUUAAAAUGGCCAUUGAAUAUUUAGUCCAUGUGCUGCCAAUCACUUGAUAGAGUGACUAGCCUAGUUUGACUCUAGCCAACACUGACAAUUUGAGAAAGGUCAAGGACUGACAGAAGAGCACAUCGCCCCAGGAGUGGAGAUACUUGUGACUUCAAAAUUUGCGGCCCCACAGACACCAGAAAAUCGAUGUAUUUCAAGCCUCUUCUGCGUCUCACACACCAAUGGCAUUAAGCAGUGUGGUUGGAGGAUGACUUGGGGCCGGGAGAAGGCAAGCUUUCGUAAGUGGCUGAUGCAGUUUUCCGUCUUUAACCUUGACACAAAUGCUCCGGGGCACUUGGUCACACCCAUUUCACCCUCAAGUCAGGUUAGUCCAGCAGCUAAACUGAAGGGACUGAUGCUACUGAGUGUCUCCUAAAUCUCAGGGUCACCAGACCCAGAUGCUGAGAAAGUGAGGACUUCCUUUAGAACAUCACUUUCCCCUGCCUGCCUGUCUUUCUCUUCUCAAGCUAAUCUUCUAUGUCCCUGAGCACAAGGGCACACAAACGCUGAGGAUCAUCAGCCUUCCCUGACCCAUGACCUUGAGCUUACCAUGUUUUAUUUUUCAGAUCUAGACCAGGGCAAUGGCAUGCGUAAAACUCAAAGAGAUCUGUCAAAGCAAGUUCCACGAACACUGCUUUGGAUCCCUUUCUGUUCGAUAUGUGGGUGAACUGGAUGAAUAUAGAACGAUAGCAUCAUGCUGACAAGUCUUUCCAAAUAGAUGGUCUCUAUUCAAUGACAUGUGCAGAAAUUGCUUUUAUCAUUUAGACAGCUUGGAGACAGAGUUUGUGGGACUACAACGCAAUUCAUAUGUGAGAAGUAUAAAAUGUAGUGUUCAGUGACAUUACAAAAAACAGCAAAUAGAGUAAUCCACACCUAGAGGAGGAGUUUAGAAGACUGGCACGUCAAAUAUGACAAAGUUUAUGGAGCCAAGAAGCUGUCCAAGUGAGAUGAGCAUCUGACCUAACAAGAGAUGCAGUGAACAGAAUAUUGAGUCAGGACGGAAAACACUUUUUAAAUUAAUUAUUCAUUCACAUAAUACUAUAUUCUGCUCUUUGUCCUGCAGUUUUUGUGAUUUACACAAAACUGGCAAAGACCCAGAGAACAGUGUCAUGGCAUUCUACAAGUCUGACAUCUUUCUCGGUGAAAAAGCCUUAAAAUGUGUGACGACUUAAAGAGAAAGUGGUGUGACUUCAUGAUAGCCUUUAAGAAAAUAAGACUUUCAAGGAAACAGUUUAUCUCCUGAUAUUUUUAUAGACACAGGAGAAAACAUGAGAACUAUGCUUGGAUGACUUUUGGGAAGAGAUAGGUUGGUGGUAUCAGCACAAGUGUAGAAAGCGAUUAAGAGUGGCUGGAGAAGGAGUGUCCCCAUAGGUGGCGACCUUCAUGAGACCCCAAGCGGCGUGGCCUAGGCAACUGGAAGGCAGGGGCCCCCAGGAUUCCGUGCCCCCUCCCCCCCGUCCAGUUCUGUUAUUGCAACUGCAGACGGUUACCUGGCACGCCAGGGCCCGCUCCAUCACUCCUGUUAGAGUCUGCGCAGCAGGCAGUGCCUGGGGCCCUGAGCUCUGUGCUCUUGAACGUCGUUUUCGUGGUUCAAGACCCUCAAGUGUUGUGAGCUGGUGAUCCAGUUGCUGCCAACAGUAAGUUAAGUACUCCCGUUUUUGUCAUGCCUCAAUCCUGAUUAAAUUUAUGUGAUUUCACUUGUUUUUAAUCCAUCAUAUGCUGCGUUUCUUCUCCCCAGCCCCCAGCUCUGCAUCCUCUGCCUCACAUCACCAUGGCAGAAUGCCUUGGCCCUUUAUGUGGUCCGAGGGCAGAAGUUACACUGUUGGAGAUCAACCAGGAGCUGCACUUAGAGCUGACCAAACAGAAGCAGGACUUCCGAGAUCUCACCCAGAAAUUCCUUGUAUGCCAAGCUACUACCUACUACCUGGCCAACCAGCUGCAGAAAUACAAGUGUGAAGAGUGCAAGGACAUCAUUGAAUCCGUGCUGGGGGAGAAGCUGCAGUUCCGGGUGGUGAAGUUGGCAGAGCAGCUGGCAGAGAAGCUGGCUGAGAAGCCAGUGCUAGCUGAUGAGAGGUUCAGGGAAUACGAUAGCCUAAUUCGCUCUCAGGCACGAGAGCUGACCGAGUUACGGAGGAAAUUACGGGACAGGAGAGAAGACUCUGUCCUGCUCAUUCAGCAACUGAAGGACAUCCUCACCCAUGAUGACCUGGACAACAACCAGGGACAGGGCUUCCAAGAGCAGCUGACCAAGGGACGCAGGCUGGCAGAGCGCCUUGCCCGCAAGCUCAGCCCAGAAGUUGAUGAAGAUGAGGAAUAUAAACUGGAUGAAGAAACACUCACCCCCAGCAUUGAGCUGCAGGAGUUGGAGAAGGAUGAAGUGCUCCAGGACUGCCAGGAUGAAUGUGUUUUGAAUCCUUCAGUUCUCCAAGAAGGAUCUGUCUGCAACCAGCUAGACAGUGAAGGCAAAGUUGCACUCGGUGAAGAGAAAGUCGGCCGUGCUCCGGAUGUUGCUGGUGAUUGCUCCGAUGUUCCAGAGGGUGAAAUUCCAACUGACCUCCCAGACAAUGAGAAUGACCGUGACGAAGCAGCUGGACAAGAGCCAACGACCCCCAGCACGGACCUACAGGAGUUUGAAAAGGAUGAAGUGCUCCACAAAUCCCAGGAUGAAGGUGUUUUGGUUCCUUCCCUUCAUCAGGAAGGUUCUGACGUCUAUGAGACUCACAGUGAUGGAAAAUUUGCGUUUCAUGAAGAGAAACUGAUGUCUGCUCUGGAGGGAGCCGGUGGUGUCUCCCAUGUUAAAGAGGAUGAAAUUCCAAGUGACCUCCCAGACUUCGCUCUGGAUGUAUGCCCAGGAGUGGGAUUGCCGGAUCAUAUGAGGCUUCUGAAACCAGAACAUGAGCACCACUGUCAUCUUUGAAAACCAAAAUAAUCAAGAUGAUGUGAAAGGAGCACAGCCAAUUGUCCACAGGCUCAGCAAGGAACCGUCGCAGAUGGUAGAGUGUGACAUCCCACGGCACUCAGUGGAGGAAUCCUAUUUGACUUACUCUGCUCU